GACCGAUCCCCGUACGUCUUUUCUUGUGGAAGAUGCUAAGAGAGAGAUGGGCGAGAGCAGAGAGGAGAGCAGCCGCGGUGCUGGCCCGUAGAGCCGUGGUUGGUGUGCGAGGCGACCGACGAAGGGACCCUGCAUCCGCGUGGUAUGUUGGCCUGCUCGCCGAGCGAGCACUUCGAAACGGCAUGACCCUGUAGAGGUUCAUGCCGCUGCCAGAACAUGUCCUGCUCCACCGCCGCUGCCAUAGGCACCGUUUUCUUGAGCUGCCACAGGCUGGAGCCUCUGCCGGUGGAGAAGGAGGCGACAUGGACUGCCUGCUCUGGGUCUACGACUACAUCGUCGAGUUCUUCCAAUACAAGGACAUCCUGCCCGACGGCUCUCAACACGUGAGGUGAGAAAUCGAAACAUUAUGCAUUCUGAUUCUGUCAAUUGAUGGCGACCAGCCGACCAGGCCGAGAUUCGAUGUCUACGUUAAUCUCCGCCCUCGAUUGAGAAGCUCGACGACAUGCUGCUUGCCAAAUCUGAGUCUCUUUGUCCUUGCCAAACUAUUGAAGACGCGCAAGGUAAUUGUAGGAGAAGAAUAAGACGCAACGUUUUCUGCUAUCUGUUUAUCCUUUUAUUAUGUGAGUACACACAAAGAAGUUAACAACCUUCCGGGAACUGCAUCUCAUAGUUCAUGCCAACAACCGGGAGAAAAGAAAGGAAAGGAGAGAUGCGUGCUAGGAGCAGUACCAUCCGGUGAUUACGUACGUGCAUGCACGGGUCAGGCGUUCAUGUGGCUUAAUUUGAUGUUCACGCAGGAGAUCAUGGAUGGCUUUUAGAAGACCGUCUUCUGGUACUUUCGAGACAAGAGUCACAAGAAUAGUUACGACGACUUGGCGCCCUCACGUCCGGCAAGACACUGGGGCGAGGAGAGGUGGUGGAUGCCCGGGCCAUGCAUGACAAAGUUAAGUUGAUAAAGAUGCUAUUAUUUCCCCAUUUAGUGGUGCUUGGAGAGAUAUAUGCGUGAAGAUUCUGGACUCCAAGAGAAGCCCCCUUGGCAUUACCUUAUAUAAGUAUGCAAUUGUAUUUUGUGGCCAUCAAGCAAGUUUAGUUCUAACAAUACAAGGCUCCCAUGCAUUGAAGUUUAUUUCGCCUCAUAGUUGGCCUUGUAAGAGUGUGGAGGGAGAGCAACUAUCGGCGUGUCCUUUCCGCCUCCUUCUGGACCUCCCCACUGUAGUUCCGGCUCUCGUCGGCUCUUUUUCCUCGCAUCUUUCCAGGGUAAUGGUGGAGAAGAAUUUCUGGAAAUGGAUGUGAAAUCAAGGUGACAUGCCAGAUUAUAGGCCGACAAUGAAAAUAGCCAGGGAAGAAGAUGGCGAGGUAUGCGUUGUGUGUUGGAUCAGGUGGGGGCAACAAUCAGGCAGUGGAAAAUCUUAUGUUCAGAGGUCCAGGGUGCUCUACUUCUCCAGUGCUUAAGGCUUUUAGAUUGACGAAGAGGGGAACUGCUUAGAAUCGUCUAGACUAGCUGAUGGAGUUAGGGUGAUGAAGCUAUGCCGCUCUCUCCAGCCGUUCUCUAUCUACCUUUCAAUGAAAAACUCUCGAUGAGAGAUGUAAUAGGGCAGUAGUUUAAAACCCUGAUGUAUGUGUUCUUUGGCAGCUACUUUGGUUGUCGCUGAGAGCUGUUGUCGCCGAGAGCUGUUAAACA